rnacentral:rRNA from 1 species
CCCUAGUAACUGCGAGUGAAGCGGGAAAAGCUCAAAUUUAAAAUCUGGCGGUCUUUGGCCGUCCGAGUUGUAGUCUGGAGAAGUGCUUUCCGCGUUGGACCGUGUACAAGUCUCUUGGAACAGAGCGUCAUAGAGGGUGAGAAUCCCGUCUUUGACACGGACUACCAAUGCUUUGUGAUGCGCUCUCAAAGAGUCGAGUUGUUUGGGAAUGCAGCUCAAAAUGGGUGGUGAAUUCCAUCUAAAGCUAAAUAUUGGCGAGAGACCGAUAGCGAACAAGUACCGUGAGGGAAAGAUGAAAAGCACUUUGGAAAGAGAGUUAAACAGUACGUGAAAUUGCUGAAAGGGAAACGCUUGAAGUCAGUCGCGUCGUCCGAAACUCAGCCUUCCUUUUGGUCGGUGCAUUUUUCGGAUGACGGGCCAGCAUCGAUUUUGACCGCUGGAAAAGGGCUGGAGGAAUGUGGCACCUUCGGGUGUGUUAUAGCCUCCUGUCGCAUACGGCGGUUGGGAUCGAGGAACGCAGCACGCCUUAUGGCUGGGGUUUACCCACAUUCGUGCUUAGGAUGCUGGCAUAAUGGCUUUAAACGACCCGUCUUGAAACACGGACCAAGGAGUCUAACAUGCCUGCGAGUGUUUGGGUGGAAAACCCGAGCGCGUAAUGAAAGUGAAAGUUGAGACCUCUGUCGUGGAGGGCAUCGACGCCCGGACCUGAUGUUCUCUGACGGAUCCGCGGUAGAGCAUGUAUGUUGGGACCCGAAAGAUGGUGAACUAUGCCUGAAUAGGGUGAAGCCAGAGGAAACUCUGGUGGAGGCUCGUAGCGAUUCUGACGUGCAAAUCGAUCGUCAAAUUUGGGUAUAGGGGCGAAAGA